rnacentral:rRNA from 1 species
AUACGGAGGGUGCGAGCGUUACUCGGAGUCACUGGGCGUAAAGCGUCCGUAGGCGGUCGGGUAAGUCGGGUGUGAAAGCCCCGGGCUCAACCUGGGAAGUGCACCCGAUACUGCUCGACUCGAGUGCGGGAGAGGAUGGCGGAAUUCCCGGUGUAGCGGUGAAAUGCGUAGAGAUCGGGAGGAACACCAGUGGCGAAGGCGGCCAUCUGGCCCGCAACUGACGCUGAGGGACGAAAGCCAGGGGAGCGAACCGGAUUAGAAACCCCAGUAGUCC